AUUCAGCGGCGCUGGCUGGAGCUGAGAUGGAAGUUAGUUUCUAUGUAGCAGAAAUAUGAAACAAAUGAAGCAAAACUGCCCAGAGAGGGGAAAUGCCCCAAGGAUGGGUCUCACUCACGCGCGUACACAGACACACACGCAGAGAGCACUCUCACGCUGGGCAAGCUCGGGAUCGCGCUACCCUUCCCGAGUUGAAUGAUAGUGUUUGGUUUCUGUCUCUUGCCAUGUGCAUGUGUAUAAAUGCUGCGGAUUGGCAUCUGUGUAAGUCUUGUCCUGCGUUAUUUCUGCAGCCUAUGCAAGUGUUGUGUAAUUUAUUGGAGUGCUGUAUAUUGCAAUAGAGGUUUGGGCUGCUUUUUGUUAAGCACUUGCGUUUUGCAAACCCGUUAUUUGCUGAAGCCACCUCUGCAUAUUUCUUUUAUUACUGCCAUUGCCUUUGGCGUACGUUUUUUAAAUGUUUUUUAUUGUUAAACGGGCAAAGCGAACUCUUGAUUUGUACUUCAGAUACUCUUUUUCCUUAUUACAAAAAGGCUAGUGAUGGCUAAUUAGGUAUUUGGAAUUAAAGAACCUUAAAGCUUUUUUAAGUGUUUACGAGAAGGGAGAAUGUAAACCUGAGGGAAAGGAAAGGACGCUAAUAUUCAUGUCUAACUGAUCUGGAGGUAAUUUAGUGACAGAUCGAUAACCUGCCUAAGGAUAUUGAAAGAGUAUACUACAGUUUAGCCAAGUUAAUCACGGGAAGACUUCUUGAAAACUGACGAAAAGGAGAAAAAAAAAUCUUUCGUAAAUUAGUAUGUAAUUACCGAUUUUAUAUGCUAAAUCAUACAUCUGUGUUUUGCUGAUGAGGAUAAGGGCCUUGUUUUUAAAAAAACGAAUAUGGGUGAAAUUAAUGGAAACAAUAGAAAAAGCCAUUUGUUAGAAAACAAGGACACCAAAUGAUAUUUAUCUCCAGAUGAUUUAAGCACUUUCCAAAAAGACUUGAGAGUUCAAUAUUUUUUAAGGAUUGCAUUUUAAAGGGAAUUUGGAUAGUCGUUCUUUUGUUAACAUUUAACAAAAGAUUCUCCUUAAAAAUGUUAGAUAAUAAACUGCAUUUUAUGGGUCUGGUUUAAAAAGGUUAUUUGUGGGGAAAGGACCAACAAGCUGUAUUGUGGUUUUCUAGAUUGUUUCCUCAAGCCUUGUAACCUCCUAGCUCCUUACAUUCCUAGUGGGAAAUACUUGCUGCAAAUGCCUUGGGCUGCACUGUAAGCCCAAGUGUGCUGCACCAGUGUGAUGCCCUAUACUAAAACAUCCAGAAAUCAUCAUACAUAUGAGGAAGAAGAAAUAAAGCCUCAAACCCUUUGGAAUAAUAGGAUAUAAAAUUGCCUUUUGUAACUGAAUCUUAAAAAUGGAAGGUUACCAUGACUUGUCCUAUUGCAACCUGGUUAUCAGAAUAACUUAUUUUUUUUAAGAUAGCUAUUCUCAAAUACUGAACAUAUUUGCAUCUUUAAAGACACUUUAUUCUAUUCAAUUAUAGGUAAAGUAGCCUAUUUCUAGGUGGUUAGGCUUGAAAAGAUAGACUGAAAAGAUAGGAAAUUUUGUAUGCCUUUUUGCAAAUUGUAUUUACUUCUAAGACCGAUGCUGUUUUAGCUUAACUUUUAAAAAAGUGUUCUUCAAAUAAUUGUAAUAUUUUACACGAUCUUGAAGUUCUUCAAAUAAACAGAGUUUAGAAACUAAAAAUUAUAGUGGGAUUUUCUGGUUUUGAAGGCUUGGAAUGUAUGAUUCUUACUAAUAGAUGUUUUAUUCUUGUGAUUGAAAAUAAACCAAAUUAUGACAUGGAAUAUAAUAUUACUCUGGGUAAAGUUUGUGAUAUAUAUCUUCUGUGUGUUUUGUAAACAUAGAAAACUAGCAUGAUUAUCUCAUAUAUUCUUUUCAUUUAGAAGCCACAAAAGCUUUCACCUAAAUAUGCUACUAGUACUUAGCUCCUUAAAAAUUUUUUGGAAAAUCCCCCUCUAAGUUUUCUAAACAUGAUGUUCCUGUCAUUUUGAUUGAUUUUUGACAGUGUUUAUAUUUCUUUUUCAAAUGUCCAAUAUGCAGAUUGUUGUAACCUUCCCUUUGAACUAUUGUCUGUUAUAAGAAAAUAUACAUUACCUGCUAAAAAUUAAAACUUCCCUUCAGCCAAAUAAACUAUUUGUAUUUAACAGUGGAUAUUGAAUUGAAUUUUACUAAGUCCUUUAAAUGUAACAAAUACUCCAAAUAGCCCUUUUAAUUUUCUUAAACAUAAAAAACAUUUGUGAAUUAUAGCAUUGACAGUUAACUGUAAGAUUUAUUAAGUUGUUUAUUGUACUUGUUUAUGUACAAAGUCUGUAAAUAUCAAAUAGAAAGAAAAGUCUUAUUUGGAAGUUCUAGAUUUUAGUUCCCAAAGCAAUGAUCCUUGCAAUUUUUUGUUCAGCCAACUCUUUUGCAUAUAAGGAUAGUUCAGAUUCCAUCUAUAUCCUUUCCUGUUUGUUUAUUUUAACAUUUUUAUGGGUUUCCAAAAAUAAAAUAUCACUUUAAAAAGAUCUCCAUGCAGUUUAAAUAACAAGGUUAACAAAUAAUAGUAAAAGUUUGGAAAGCCAAGACCUAACGUUUUUACAUAAUAUAGUCUCUCUAGGAGAUAUAGAAACUUUUCUUGAAAUAUAAAAGUUUAUGUGAAAUUCAUCAC
rnacentral:lncRNA from 1 species